rnacentral:rRNA from 1 species
UACGUAGGAUGCAAGCGUUGUCCGGAAUUAUUGGGCGUAAAGAGCGCGCAAGCGGUAUGACAAGUCAGAUGUGAAAGAGGCCGGCUUAACCGGCAAGGGUCAUUUGAAACUGUCAGACUAGAGUGCAGCAGAGGAUAGUGGAAUUCCCGGUGUAGUGGUGAAAUGCGUAGAUAUCGGGAGGAACACCAGUGUCGAAGGCGACUAUCUGGGCUGCAACUGACGCUGAGGCGCGAAGGCUAGGGUAGCAAACAGG